rnacentral:rRNA from 1 species
GCUCAGAUUGAACGCUGGCGGCAUGCCUUACACAUGCAAGUCGAACGGCAGCACGGGUGCUUGCACCUGGUGGCGAGUGGCGAACGGGUGAGUAAUACAUCGGAACAUGUCCUGUAGUGGGGGAUAGCCCGGCGAAAGCCGGAUUAAUACCGCAUACGAUCUACGGAUGAAAGCGGGGGACCUUCGGGCCUCGCGCUAUAGGGUUGGCCGAUGGCUGAUUAGCUAGUUGGUGGGGUAAAGGCCUACCAAGGCGACGAUCAGUAGCUGGUCUGAGAGGACGACCAGCCACACUGGGACUGAGACACGGCCCAGACUCCUACGGGAGGCAGCAGUGGGGAAUUUUGGACAAUGGGCGAAAGCCUGAUCCAGCAAUGCCGCGUGUGUGAAGAAGGCCUUCGGGUUGUAAAGCACUUUUGUCCGGAAAGAAAACCUUUGCCCUAAUACCUUGGGGGGAUGACGGUACCGGAAGAAUAAGCACCGGCUAACUACGUGCCAGCAGCCGCGGUAAUACGUAGGGUGCAAGCGUUAAUCGGAAUUACUGGGCGUAAAGCGUGCGCAGGCGGUUUGUU